UACGGAGGAUCCGAGCGUUAUCCGGAAUGAUUGGGCGUAAAGGGCGCGUAGGCGGCCCGGUAAGUCUGGAGUGAAAGUCCUGGUUUUAAGCUGGGAAUUGCUUUAGAUACUGUCGGGCUUGAGUGCAGGAGAGGUAAGUGGAAUUCCCAGUGUAGCGGUGAAAUGCGUAGAGAUUGGGAGGAACACCAGUGGCGAAGGCGACUUACUGGACUGUAACUGACACUGAGGCGCGAAAGUGUGGGGAGCAAAC
rnacentral:rRNA from 1 species